rnacentral:rRNA from 1 species
UGGACGAAAGUCUGCCGGAGUAACGCCGCGUGAGUGAUGAAGGUUUUCGGAUCGUAAAGCUCUGUUGCCAAGGAAGAACGGCCAGGGGAGUAACUGCCCCUGGAGUGACGGUACUUGAGAAGAAAGCCCCGGCUAACUACGUGCCAGCAGCCGCGGUAAUACGUAGGGGGCAAGCGUUGUCCGGAAUUAUUGGGCGUAAAGCGCGCGCAGGCGGUCUUUUAAGUCUGGUGUUUAAGCCCGGGGCUCAACCCCGGUUCGCACUGGAAACUGGGAGACUUGAGUGUAGGAGAGGAAAGUGGAAUUCCAC